rnacentral:rRNA from 1 species
UACGUAGGGGGCAAGCGUUGUCCGGAUUUAUUGGGCGUAAAGAGCGUGUAGGCGGCUUGUUAGGUCUGCUGUGAAAACUCGAGGCUCAACCUCGAGAUGUCGGCGGAAACCGUCUGGCUAGAGUCCGGAAGAGGAGAGUGGAAUUCCUGGUGUAGCGGUGAAAUGCGCAGAUAUCAGGAAGAACACCAAUGGCGAAGGCAGCUCUCUGGGACGGUACUGACGCUGAGACGCGAAAGCGUGGGGAGCGAACAGG